GACGAACGCUGGCGGCGCGCCUAACACAUGCAAGUCGAACGAGAGAGAGGGAGCUUGCUUCCUCGAUCGAGUGGCGAACGGGUGAGUAACGCGUGAGGAACCUGCCUCAAAGAGGGGGGACAACAGUUGGAAACGACUGCUAAUACCGCAUAAGCCCACGACCCGGCAUCGGGAAGAGGGAAAAGGAGCAAUCCGCUUUGAGAUGGCCUCGCGUCCGAUUAGCUAGUUGGUGAGGUAACGGCCCACCAAGGCGACGAUCGGUAGCCGGACUGAGAGGUUGAACGGCCACAUUGGGACUGAGACACGGCCCAAACUCCUACGGGAGGCAGCAGUGGGGAAUAUUGCACAAUGGGGGAAACCCUGAUGCAGCGACGCCGCGUGAGCGAAGAAGUAUUUCGGUAUGUAAAGCUCUGUCAGCAGGGAAGAUAAUGACGGUACCUGACCAAGAAGCCCCGGCUAACUACGUG
rnacentral:rRNA from 1 species